CGUUCUAUGGCCAAAUUGAUAAAGGCAUCACCGAUCACAGGCGAGGGAGGAUGUGGGUUCAAGUCCCACUGGAUCGG
rnacentral:tRNA from 1 species